rnacentral:lncRNA from 1 species
UCCCACCAAAGAUUCCAACAAAGCAGUCAUUCUUUCCAUUUCUUCUUUCAAUGAAUUCACUUCCUCACUAAGUUCUCUUUUUAUCUUUCUCAAUUGUCUCCAUCUCUCGUCUUAAGUUGACACAAGUAUUGUACCAGUGGGCCAUCUUGUCUUCUACGAAGACGAAAGAAAAUGAAUGAGACUCUAAAAGACUUGCAAAGAGCAAGACCAAAU